GAGGAUAGGCAGGAGGCGAAGAUCCGGAGGCGCCAGCCCCCGGGGAGCCGCCCUUGGAAUACUGCCCUCGCGCGACCGGCGUCCUAACCCGAGGCCGUCAACCGGCUCGGGGACCGUGCCAGGCGGGCAGUUUGACUGGGGCGGUCGCCUCCUAAAGGGUAACGGAGGCGCGCGAAGGUCCGCUCGGGACGGUCGGCAACCGUCCUUUUGAAUGCAAGAGUACAAGCGGGCUUGACUGCGAGGCCCACAAGCCGAGCAGGUGCGAAAGCAGGCUCUAGUGAUCCGGCGGCCCCGAGUGGGUGGGCCGUCGCUCAACGGAUAAAAGGUACUCCGGGGAUAACAGGCUGAUCUUGCCCAAGAGUCCACAUCGACGGCAAGGUUUGGCACCUCGAUGUCGGCUCAUCGCAUCCUGGGGCUGGAGCAGGUCCCAAGGGUACGGCUGUUCGCCGUUUAAAGCGGUACGCGAGCUGGGUUCAGAACGUCGUGAGACAGUUCGGUCCCUAUCCUCCGUGGGCGCAGGAGAAUCGAUGGAGGCUGCCCCCAGUACGAGAGGACCGGGGUGGACGCACCUCCGGUGAACCGGUUGUCGACCAACGGCACGGCCGGGUAGCCGCGUGCGGCGCGGAUAACCGCUGAAGGCAUCUAAGCGGGAAGCCGUUCCAGGGAUUAGUUCUCCUUCCGGUAAGGGCCCAGGUAGACUACCUGGUCGAUAGACGGCAGGUGCAAGGCUGGCGACAGCCUCAGCCGAGCCGCACUAAUCGCCCGAGCUCUUCC
rnacentral:rRNA from 1 species